rfam:Oryza punctata chromosome 8, whole genome shotgun sequence.
AAAAAAUACAGUUUUGGUUUUUUUUAACUUUUGAUCGUUCGUCUUAUUUGAAAUUUUUUUAUGAUUGGUAUUUUUAUUAUUAUUAGAUGAUAAAACAUGAAUAGUACUUUAAGCAUAACUAACUUUUGUUAAUUUUUUACAUAAAUUUUUCAAAUAAAACGGAUGAUCAAAUAUUGAACACGGAAAUCCACAACUGCACUUAUG